rnacentral:rRNA from 1 species
UGACCUCAGAUCAGAUAAGGAUACCCGCUGAACUU